rnacentral:rRNA from 1 species
UGAGGAAUAUUGGACAAUGGGCGCAAGCCUGAUCCAGCAAUGCCGCGUGCUGGAUGAAGGCCUUCGGGUUGUAAACUGCUUUUGUACGGAACGAAAAGGCUCUGGUUAAUACCUGGGGCUCAUGACGGUACCGUAAGAAUAAGCACCGGCUAACUACGUGCCGGCAGCCGCGGUAAUACGUAGGGUGCAAGCGUUAAUCGGAAUUACUGGGCGUAAAGCGUGCGCAGGCGGUUAUGUAAGACAGAUGUGAAAUCCCCGGGCUCAACCUGGGACCUGCAUUUGUGACUGCAUAGCUAGAGUACGGCAGAGGGGGAUGGAAUUCCGCGUGUAGCAGUGAAAUGCGUAGAUAUGCGGAGGAACACCGAUGGCGAAGGCAAUCCCCUGGGCCUGUACUGACGCUCAUGCACGAAAGCGUGGGGAGCAAACA